GCUCCAAUAGUGUAUAUUAAAGUUGUUGCAGUUAAAAAGCUCGUAGUCGAAUGUAGGGUUAUAAACGCUGAGAUGUCUUUUAGGAGACGAUUUUUGGCGUCAUAACUCUUUUUUACCGACCAAAAUUUGAUUAACUAAUCAGAUCGUGGGUGCCGGUAAUAUUUACUGUGAAUAAAUCAGAGUGUUCAUGGCAGGCCGUA
rnacentral:rRNA from 1 species